UUUCUUUUUGUCGAGGGGAGUUGAGGCGACUCGCAGGGUUGCCGCUCGUCGCUCCUCUUCUGGCGGCGGUGUUUCGCCGCUGUCCGGCGGCGGCGGCUCGUCGCUUCUCGCUGUGGAGACUGGCCGCUCUCUCGCGUGGUGAUUAGUCGGCGACUUCCCGCUCGGCUGCUCUUCAUUGGAGGGUAUUUUGUUUGUUUGUAUUCGCGGCGGCGUCUUCCGUCGUUGGUUAGCGUUUCUGGGCGUGUUCAUUGGCAUCUCCUUGUCUUCCUUGUCAAGGGAUAUUGUAAGAUUACACGGCGUGCCCAAAACAAUUGUUUCAGACCGUGACACCAAGUUCUUGAGCUACUUUUGGAAGACAUUAUGGGCAAAGCUUGGAACAAGGCUGCUGUUUUCCACCACUUGUCAUCCUCAAACGGAUGGACAAACUGAAGUUGUAAAUAGAACACUU